GUUACAAAUGAUGAUGGGAAAUCUAUUACAUAAUUCUUCUCUCUUCUCCAAUAAGAUUCUUAACAUUGAAAAAGGAUCUUAGAGUGUGCCAGGAAGGCUUCUUAACGUCUUCUUUUUUCUUCCCAUCGGAGUUUUUUCACAAAGACUCGCCAUAGUAAGGGGGAAGGGUGGAACAAGCAAAGCACACUUGUAGAGCGCAGUACAGCGGAGAUGUCCAAUACUAUUUGGUAGCCUUUUCUAUUAUUUAAUUUAGUAUAAUGUCUACUAUUUCUUCUCUUCCUUUGUCAACCACUUAUUUACUAAGGGGU
rnacentral:lncRNA from 1 species